UACAUGGGGUGCAAACGUUGCUCGGAAUCAUUGGGCGUAAAGCGCGCGUAGGCGGUUACUCAAGUUGGAUGUGAAAGCCCUCGGCUUAACUGAGGAAGUGCAUCCAAAACUGAGUAGCUAGAGUACUAAAGAGGGUCGCGGAAUUCCCGGUGUAGAGGUGAAAUUCGUAGAUAUCGGGAGGAACACCGGUGGCGAAGGCGGCGAACCUGGGGUAGAUACGUGACGCUGAGGCGGCGAAAAGCGAUGGGGAGCAAACAGGGAUUAAGAUGACCCUAGU
rnacentral:rRNA from 1 species